rfam:Myotis brandtii contig290853, whole genome shotgun sequence.
UGACCCGCGGUGCCGGCUGACCUCGUGGCGUCGCAGGCCUGACCGCCAUACCAACCGCUUCCAAGCACCCCAGCAGCACAACCUCUUAGGGCGUUCCAACUCGGCGCCCCCUA